rnacentral:rRNA from 1 species
GACGAACGCUGGCGGCGUGCUUAACACAUGCAAGUCGAACGGAAAGGCCUGCUUUCCCUUGUGGAUUGCGGGUACUCGAGUGGCGAACGGGUGAGUAACACGUGAGUGAUCUGCCCCCAACUUGGGUAUAAGCCUGGGAAACUGGGUCUAAUUCCCGAUAGGACUGCAGGGUGGUGCCUGUGGUGGAAAACGAUUUUCUAGUGGUUGGGGAUGAGCUCGCGGCCUAUCAGCUUGUUGGUGGGGUAAUGGCCUGCCAAGGCGGCGACGGGUAGCCGGCCUGAGAGGGUGGACGGCCACAUUGGGACUGAGAUACGGCCCAGACUCCUACGGGAGGCAGCAGUGGGGAAUAUUGCACAAUGGGCGGAAGCCUGAUGCAGCGACGCCGCGUGGGGGAUGACGGCCUUCGGGUUGUAAACUCCUUUCGACCGCGAGGAAGCCACCUGGUUGGAAGGGUGGUGACGGUAGUGGUAGAAGAAGCACCGGCUAACUACGUG